AGUGGUUAAGCAUUUGGCUGCUAACCAAAAGGUUGGCAGUUUAAAUCUACCAGCCACUG
rnacentral:tRNA from 1 species